rnacentral:rRNA from 1 species
AGAGUUUGAUUCUGGCUCAGGAUGAACGCUGGCGGCGUGCCUAACACAUGCAAGUCGAACGAUGAAACCGCCCUCGGGCGGACAUGAAGUGGCGAACGGGUGAGUAACACGUGACCGACCUGCCCCCCGCCCAGGGACAGCCCCCCGAAAGGGGGAUUAAUACCUGGUACUCCGGAAGCGGCGCAUGCCGUCUCCGGGAAAGCUCCGGCGGCGGGGGAUGGGGUCGCGGCCCAUCAGGUAGACGGCGGGGCAGAGGCCCACCGUGCCGACGACGGGUAGCCGGGUUGAGAGACCGACCGGCCACAUUGGGACUGAGAUACGGCCCAG